rnacentral:rRNA from 1 species
AUGAACUUCUCCGACGACUGGCGCUUCCUCUUCCCCGUCUCCUCCGUGUUCAACCCGCCGUCCCUCGCCCCGCCGGACGCCUCCCACGGGCCCCUCUUCUUCACCCCUCUCCCGCCGCCCGCCCCGCUCCUCUCCCUCCCCUUCCCCUUCCCUCCGCCCCUGCACGCCUCCACCACCGGUGACCUCCGCCACGCCCUCCGCUACAUCGUCGGCUCCACCUCCUUCCUCCCCUACUCCGAUCUCAAGUCCCUCUCGGGACCCCUCCUCGCCGCGCCGUCGCCGCCGUUCCCACCGCCUUCCAAUCUUCUCGCCGUCGUCCCCUCCCGCUCCUCAAGCUCUCUCGUCCUCUUUUUCCCGUACGGCGAAAAUGCGGAGAAGAUUGCUUUCGCUCUUGUGAACUCGCCCGUUGCGAGCUCUGCGCCAGUUUCGCCCUUAGUUCAGAGUGAUGGGUUCAAGCACCCUGGGCACCGCAUACAGCAGCUUGCUGCUAUUCCUGCCCAGUCGUCCUGGUCAUCGGAGCCGGAUGACAGCUGUGUCGAGGGUUUCCUGCUUGCUGCGACAUUGUACUCAGUGAAUUGGUUCAGGGUCGAGUCACGCGAUUCGGGUUCCCCGGUGCUUGUACCGGUGGCCAAGCAGGGGUUUGAUGCUGCUGUCGUGCACGCGUGCUGGAGCAGGCAUUUUCCAUCACAAUGUGCGGUGCUGCUGGAGAAUGGGGAGUUGUGUUGGUUUGAUCUGAAUACACGACUUGGAGGAAAGACGAGCGUUGGUUUUGGCGGCAAUGGUGAAGACUGGGGGGACUGGCUAAGCUGUGCGUAUGGAGCGCAACCGUGGAUGGUGAUAGUCGCAAGCACAAAAGCCGUCCUUUUGGUUGAUUUGAGCUUUGUAGAUCAUGGUGACAAAUACGUCGUGGAAAACGAGCCACACAAGUUUCAGUACAAGGUUCUAGCAAAAGUUGGGUUGCCAGGGUUAUUUGAAACUGAGCCUUUUGACAGGACUGAGCAUUAUAUUGCAUUCUGCAAGGCUGGGUUCGAUGAUUCCCAUAUAUCAGUAGUGACAGAGCGUCACUUGAUUCUCCUUGAUGUGACAAAGCCGUUGGAACCUGUGUUGGCUUGGCAGCAUGGGCUUGAGAACCCAAAUCAUGUUGCCAUGUUUCGGCUAUCUGAAUUGAGACCUUCCAAGGAAUAUGAAUGGGCUUCAAAUUCAGGUUUUGCCAUUUUGGUUGGUUCGUUCCAGAAUGGGGAGUUCAGUUUGUUCUGUUACGGGCCUAAGGAGCAAGGUUGUCCAGAUAAUUCUCAUUUAUACGCUUGGGAUAUUCCUUCGAGGCUUUCUCUGACAGAUGACCUCUCAAUAUCGGAGCCAACAUCUGCCAGCUUUGCCUUGAUCCGGCUAACAGCAUUGGGGAAGUUGGAAAUGCAACAGUAUCGUGCAUCUCGAGGUCUGCAUGAUGAAAUUGACACCCCAUGUGAUGAAUCAGAACAUGCAUCCAUGGAUAGUAGUUCAUCCAUUUUGAUUGACACUCAGGGUGAAAAUGUCUCCACCAAAUAUCGAUUCUUGAAGUUGCAUUUUCUAUAUGAACAUCUGAAGGGCAAUCUAUGCAGUGCGUUGGCGAAGCAUGGUACUGGUGUUAACGGAGACAGAGAUCAAAUUAUUAUUAGUGAAGACGUGUUGGCAUUUGCAGAGGAUAACUCCAGAUCCAGCUCGCUGCCAGUUUCAGAUUUCCUAUGUAAUGCUAGCAUCCCCAUGAAUGUUUUCGAAAUUGCAUGUCAGAGCAUAUUGAACAGUCUACCUUCAAAUAUUCUUCAUGUCUCCCUUUCUAAAUACAAGGACAUGCUAAAAUGCGAUACAAAAGAAGGCUUAGUAGAAUAUUUAAAAGUUCCUAGCUGUUCGCCACACAAUGAACUUCGGCCUUUCCUGUUAGCGAAACCAUCAAGCACAUGUGAGAAGGUGACUAGCAAAGCGGUAUCUCAAAAUGCUCUUGUUGGGCCAGUGCUCCCUGUGCAUGUCCUACUUGCAAUGGAAGAGAUGAACAGGGGCAUAGACAGCCCUUCGGAAAGAGAAACUGCAGAAACUGACUUAGUACGCCAUCGAUGUAGUGAGGUGCUUGAAGCCUUUGUUCCUGAAGUAUCCAUUGCUGAGUCCGACAACUUUGAUGGAUGGUUCUCCUCACAAAAGUUGAAUGACAAGAAGUCAUAUCUUGUUUACGAGACUCGGAUUGAAAAUAAGUUUACUCUUGAUAAAACUGUUAUAAAGAAGGAAAAUGAAGAGCAAAAGGCCGCUGAUCGUACAUCUUUUGAAACGUCUGCAGCACCAUACAAGGAUGAGAACUUCAUGACAUUUGUUUGUGGAAAAGCUGGGACACUUGAUUCUGGGCCUGAACAAACCACAUCUGAUUUGUUUGAUUUCACCCCAGUGAGGAUGGAUUUUGCUUCCACAGAUCUAGACAUUCAACCUGCCGAGGAAGAAGUGUACAGAUGCUUGAAGAAACAAUUUUUAAGAUGGCAAAAUAAUUUCAAGCCAUACCAAGAUUUUUGUAGCUCAUAUAAAAUACAAAAGCCAUCAUAA